UGCUUCAUCUCAUCAUAGCUCUCAUCAAUCUCCACCGGGGCAAUCUGCAGGGAGAGAGAAAGGUCACCAUCUAUCCUCUGGCCCACGCUCAUUCAUCCACCGCACAGUUUACAUGCUCGCAUCCACAUUCUGACCCGUCUUGAGCAAUUUGACAGCCUGAGUGCGCUCGUCCAUCUCCUGGGUGUUCUCCUCGUGGACGUGGUUGUGGAUCUCCGGCUCCAACGUAAGCGGCUUGAGCCGCUCCAGGACCCAAGUGACAAACUCUGCCACGUGAGGGGAGGAGGUGGACUGGGUGUGGGGCAGAGCCACGUCAAUCAUGAAGAUAUAGGUCAGGACACUGGAGAGAGAGGACGAGAAGCAGAGGGAAAGCUGUUUGAGGAUCCCGGCCACUGCUGAGAUCGCCACCUGAGAGAGAACAGAAGGAGAACAUGCCGACUAUGUUUCUGAUUCGCUGACGCUGGAGCCCCUCGUUGAGGUCCGCGGUGGACGGUGCCUCU